CAACGGGCAGCUGUGCGCGCACUUUCCGGGUCUUGGCCUCACGGUGACACUGGAUUCGAACCCCGUCGGGCCGGCAGCCGACAGCAGGUUAUCCAGAAGAAACUGGUUGGUGAUGCCUCCAGGCUGCUUGUAUGCCAGGUAUUUCAUAUACUCGUCAUCAUUUUUGUCCAGAAAGUCAAUAAACUCUGCCAACUUUUGAGGGGACUCAAAGUCAUCAAUUAGGAUGACAGAGUGAUUAUUGGGCAUCCAGUCCCUCACAGAGGGUGAUCCACGAUACACGGGCACAGCACCCAGAUGCAUGGGGCGCCACAGUUUUUCUGUCAUGUAAUCAUUGCAGAUGGCAUUCUCCAGAGCUAAGUGGAACUUAUACCGGGACAAAAA
rnacentral:lncRNA from 1 species